UACGAAGGGGGCUAGCGUUGCUCGGAAUCACUGGGCGUAAAGCGCACGUAGGCGGCUUCUUAAGUCAGGGGUGAAAUCCUGGAGCUCAACUCCAGAACUGCCUUUGAUACUGAGGAGCUCGAGUCCGGGAGAGGUGAGUGGAACUGCGAGUGUAGAGGUGAAAUUCGUAGAUAUUCGCAAGAACACCAGUGGCGAAGGCGGACUCACUGGCCCGGUACUGACGCUGAGGUGCGAAAGCG
rnacentral:rRNA from 1 species